rnacentral:rRNA from 1 species
UACAGAGGGGGCAAGCGUUAUUCGGAAUUAUUGGGCGUAAAGGGCGCGUAGGCGGCAUGGCAAGUGGAAGGUGAAAUCCCUCGGCUCAACUGAGGAACUGCCCUCCAAACUGCUUUGCUUGAGUCCGGGAGAGGUGAGUGGAAUUCCCAGUGUAGCGGUGAAAUGCGUAGAUAUUGGGAGGAACACCAGUGGCGAAGGCGGCUCACUGGACCGGAACUGACGCUGAGGCGCGAAAGCGUGGGGAGCAAACGGG